AGGCAGCAGUUGGGAAUCUUCCGCAAUGGACGAAAGUCUGACGGAGCAACGCCGCGUGAACGAUGAAGGCUUUCGGAUCGUAAAACUCUGUUAUUAGGGAAGAACAAAUGUGUAAGUAACUAUGCACGUCUUGACGGUACCUAAUCAGAAAACCACGGCUAACUACGUGCCAGCAGCCGCGGUAAUACGUAGGUGGCAAGCGUUAUCCGGAAUUAUUGGGCGUAAAGCGCGCGUAGGCGGUUUUUUAAGUCUGAUGUGAAAGCCCACGGCUCAACCGUGGAGGGUCAUUGGAAACUGGAAAACUCGAGUGCAGAAGAGGAAAGUGGAAUUCCAUGUGUAGCGGUGAAAUGCGCAGAGAUAUGGAGGAACACCAGUGGCGAAGGCGACUUUCUGGUCUGUAACUGACGCUGAUGUGCGAAAGCGUGGGGAUCAAACAGGAUUAGAUACCCCGGUAGUCC
rnacentral:rRNA from 1 species